GUCCAGGUCAAAUAAGGAAGGAGGUGGAGUCCAGGGAUGCAGCUGUCAGACCUUGGAGAAGAAGUACUUGGAGACUAGAGUGCACAAGAUGGCUCAAAAGGGAUUAAAGAUCAAUGGAGAGAUGGCAGAUUUUAACCAGAGACUAAAAUACUGGAGUUUAAGUGACUCAAUGCAUUCGUUAAUCUGCUCAAGGUGAGACCUAAGAUUAACCGUCACAGAUGGAGACAAAGUCUGGAUUAGAGAGAAGAUGUGCUGUUCCAUUUGGAAGUCAAGGUUGGUGCCACCUAAAUGGGUUCCUGCUGCAAGGAACUUGAGGACAUCCUCCUCUUUCAUUUGCAGAACAUUAAGAACUCCAGACAUUGUGAACAUUUCCCUAUAAGUUAGGAUGGCAAGCCAGAACAACAUUGUAUGGACCCCUCUCUGGGUAGCGUGAAAAGGGAUUUGGUAUGUUUUUUGUACUACUGCAUGCCUAGUCCCUAAAACAGCCACUGACUUAUAAGGAGGUGCUUGGUUAACACUGUCGAAUGAAAUAAAUGG